CCUACGGGUGGCAGCAGUGAGGACUAUUGGUCAAUGGGCGCGCGCCUGAACCAGCCAAGUAGCGUGAAGGAUGACUGCCCUACGGGUUGUAAACUUCUUUUAUAAAGGCAUAAAGUGAGCCACGUGUGCCUUUUUGUAUGUACUUUAUGAAUAAGGAUCGGCUAACUCCGUGCCAGCCGCCGCGGUAAUACUGAGGCUCCGAGCGUUAUCCGGAUUUAUUGGGUUUAAAGGGAGCGUAGAUGGUUUGUUAAGGCAGUUGUGAAAGUUUGCGGCUCAACCGGAAAAUUGCAAUUGAUACUGGCAGCCUUGAGUACGGUUGAGGUAGGCGGAAUGCGUGGUGUAGCGGUGAAAUGCAGAGAUAUCACGAAGAACUCCGAUUGCGAAGGCAGCCUACUAAACUGCCACUGACAUUGAUGCUCGAAAGUGUGGGUAUCAAACAGGAUUAGAUACCCUAGUAGUC
rnacentral:rRNA from 1 species